GAUGAACGCUGGCGGCGUGCCUAAUACAUGCAAGUCGAGCGAACAGACGAGGAGCUUGCUCCUCUGCCGUUAGCGGCGGACGGGUGAGUAACACGUGGAUAACCUACCUAUAAUUCUGGGAUAACUUCGGGAAACCGGAGCUAAUACUGCAUAAUAUAUUGAACCGCAUGGCUCAAUAGUGAAAGACGGUUUUGCUGUCACUUAUAGAUGGAUCCGCGCCGCAUUAGCUAGUUGGUAAGGUAACGGCUUACCAAGGCGACGAUGCGUAGCCGACCUGAGAGGGUGAUCAGCCACACUGGAACUGAGACACGGUCCAGACUCCUACGGGAGGCAGCAGUGGGGAAUCUUCCGCAAUGGGCGCAAGCCUGACGGAGCCAUACCGCGUGAGUGAUGAAGGUCUUCGGAUCGUAAAGCUCUGUUAUUAGGAAAGAACAGAUGUGUAUGUAUCUAUGCACGUCUUGACGGUACCUAAUCAGUAAGCCCCGGCUAACUUCGUG
rnacentral:rRNA from 1 species